UACGGAAGGCAGCAGUGGGGAAUAUUGCACAAUGGGCGAAAGCCUGAUGCAGCUAUGCCGCGUGUAUGAAGAAGGCCUUAGGGUUGUAAAGUACUUUCAUCGGGGAGGAAAAAACAAAACUAAUAAUUUUAUUUCUUGACGUUACCCGAAAAAGAAGCACCGGCUAACUCCGUGCCAGCAGCCGCGGUAAUACGGAGGGUGCUAGCGUUAAUCAGAAUUACUGGGCGUAAAGAGCACGUAGGUGGUUUUUUUAAAGUCAGAUGUGAAAUCCUUGGGCUUAACCUAGGAACUGCAUUUUGAAACUGAAAUACUAGAGUAUCGUAGAGGGAGGUAGAAUUCUAGGUGUAGCGGUGAAAUGCGUAGAUAUCUGGAGGAAUACCUGUGGCGAAAGCGGCCUCCUAAACGAAUACUGACACUGAGGUGCGAAAGCGUGGGGAGCAAACAGGGAUUAGAUACC
rnacentral:rRNA from 1 species